rnacentral:lncRNA from 1 species
GCUCGAGAAGAGUACCGGGUUGUGACAUUAACAAAAACAAGUACAUGAAUUUGCAUUAAAAUGUUAUGGGUAAAUGUAUAUAUGUUUGAAUGAAUCACUUGAAAUAUUUUAAUUGAUUUUUCUUCAAAAUGCACACGGGAACAAGCCCUUGAUAAAACAUUUUUUUUUUUGUGUUGUGUUGUGAAAUGUGACUGUGAUGAAUCCAUGUACUCCUUUUAUUAUGUUGAUAUAAGCAUAUAUGUGUUGUGCAUUUAGAGGUUAUAUUGUGUAAUAAAUAUAGUCGUGCAUGUGCACGAUGUGGGGGAGCACAUGCUUAUGAUGACGGGUGCGGGAUUGUGGAUGAUGAUAUUGCUUGUGGGCGAUGUGGGGGAUACACACGAUGGUAUUAGCUGUGGACGAUAUGGGGGAUGCACAUGAUGACUCCAGCUAUGUGCGGUGUGGGAGUGCAUAUGAGCUAGGUGAGGCGGUGGUGGUGUAUAUGCUUAUAUAUAUAUUUAUUAUAUAGAGAGGUUUGGAAUUAAUAUGUGAUUGCAUUGACUGUUGAAACUUGAUUAUUGUCAAAUGUGUUUAAGCUAAUUUUCUUUGCAACAGAAUUGAAUUUAUAUAGCAAUGAAAAUUUCCCCUAACUUCAUCUAGCCAGAUUCUCACUGCAACGAAAAUGAAUCUCGCUGCAGCGAGAAAGUCUCGGGUUGGGGGAGGGUAUGCACUGGCUCUAUUUUCACUACAGUGAGAAUGCAUUCUCGCUACAGCGAAAAACUCUCAAGUGGUUCAAAAUUUUGGUCUGAUCGUUACGGCAAGAAUGCCUUUCCACUGCAGUGAGAAACCUUCUUUUUUGCUUGUUUUGCAUGGACAUUUACUGGAAUUUUCAUUCUUUUCAACUUCAUGGUUUAUCAUGGAUUUUAAAUGCUAAGGAAUUAAAUAAUCAAGGGAUGAAUUAAGAGGCUUUACAAGAAAGUAAACUAAAUUGCAUUGUUUGCAACUAAAGUGCAUCAUGUUUUCAAAACCUCUUUGUAUCGUUGCUUGUUCCCUUCUUAUGUUCACUCACUGAGUUUAUACUCACUGUUUUCAACUUCAUGUUUUUAGAUCAGGAGGCAGUUGGAACCUAGGUCGAGGUGUCCAUGUGGAUUAGUCUUCUUGGUAGGUAUCUCAGCAUUCAAUAGUUGUAUCUUCGCCAAGGUCACUCCGCUGGAAGUCGAGUGUCUUUUUGUUGUGUAUAGAUAAACGCGAUGUAAAUUACUAAGAUAUAUGUCUUAGACAAUAUAUGUAUAUUCUGAUUGGUAAUGCCACUAUGAGUUGGCAAUGAUUAACAUUACUUUUGGUUAAUGUAAAUGCAAG